rnacentral:rRNA from 1 species
GCGGAGGGAUCAUUGCUGGAACGCGCUUCGGCGCACCCAGAAACCCUUUGUGAACUUAUACCUAUUUGUUGCCUCGGCGUAGGCCGGCCUCUUCACUGAGGCCCCCUGGAGACAGGGAGCAGCCCGCCGGCGGCCAACUAAACUCUUGUUUCUAUAGUGAAUCUCUGAGUAAAAAACAUAAAUGAAUCAAAACUUUCAACAACGGAUCUCUUGGUUCUGGCAUCGAUGAAGAACGCAGCGAAAUGCGAUAAGUAAUGUGAAUUGCAGAAUUCAGUGAAUCAUCGAAUCUUUGAACGCACAUUGCGCCCUCUGGUAUUCCGGAGGGCAUGCCUGUUCGAGCGUCAUUUCAACCCUCAAGCCUGGCUUGGUGAUGGGGCACUGCCUUCUAGCGAGGGCAGGCCCUGAAAUCUAGUGGCGAGCUCGCUAGGACCCCGAGCGUAGUAGUUAUAUCUCGUUCUGGAAGGCCCUGGCGGUGCACUGCCGUUAAACCCCCAACUUCUGAAAAUUUGACCUCGGAUCAGGUAGGAAUACCCGCUGAACUUAAGCAUAU